CAGAAAGGCGUGAAAUUCGUUAUAAAUUUGAUGGGACAGUUCAAAGUUUUGUACUUUCCAGACCUGCACAACGAAUUACCUAUUCGAAAAAUAGAAUAUGGUUAAAAAUUGCUGAUAUGAUAGAGGAUUCAAGUACCAUUUACAAACAAAAUAUUGAAGAGAAUGUGCUCAAAGGAACUGCAUAUGAAUUCAUUUUUGUUGACCAGGAUGGAAAAAUUCUUUGGAACCCAUAGAUAGAAUAAGUUAGUUAGGCCUAGUGGUGUACCAGCCAGAAGUAGAGGAUGACAAAGAAAAUCAACUAUGAAUAAUAUUCCAUGGAUAUAAUUCAUGUAUGAUGUAGUAGCCUACAGAAGAAAGAGAUGGACUCAUCUAAGAAAUAUAUUAAUUUUUUCAGUAAAUCUUG